AUGCUGCACCAAUGUGGACUCGUCUGUGUACUCAGAUCACUUUGUUUCUGUGGCUCUCGCAGCCCAUGUGAAUGGCGUGCUUAUGGUCUGUGAGACGCCAUGGGUAAAAUAAUUUUCAAAAUCGUCUAAAAUACUCUUGGUUCUUCUUGAACUAUAACAGCUAUGGUGAUCAACUGAAAUUGCCGGGUUUCUCACAAUCUCCGCCGUUGGCUACAGCUGGUGCUGUGCACCUUUGUGUUUGGGAGUCACAGACCUGCAGAACAAUAGGCCUUCCAUAACCCAGGAGCCAGAAAGAGGUCAACUGGAGCCAGGGCAGAUAUCUAAUGUUAAGGCAUUCAUGUGUCAUAAGUGAUUAGUGAAGUAUGUUGUUUAACAUCUGUUUCACUUGGACACUUGACUUUAUGUAAUCUUUUCAAUCUUUUGCUUAGUUUUCAUAACCAUAGAUCACUGAGACUAAAAUAGCAGACAGUGAACUAAUGAAUGAAUUAAUUAAUUAACGAUACAUAUUGGGAGGAGAGAAUUUAGCAUCUGAGCCUUUUCUGGAGAACAUGCUGGGAUAUUGAUCAAUGCAUUGGACUACUACUGGUACAUUUGUACAUGUGUAAUUACCAUCCUGGGCCAGACCCUCAUGUCAUGGAGCCCCGCUGUGAAAUGAUAGGUGCUGUGAGAGCAGAGUCACGCCGAUGCCCUCCCUGCAAUCACCGUCCCUUGUAUAGACUUUUAAUGACAAAACAUCCAUUCAACCUGCCGCCAUAUUCCAUGUUCUCCCAGGGUGCAUGUAUUUUUGGCUGUAUCUCCCUGGUCAUCUUAUUUCCGCUCAUUAUGGUCUGGGCCCAUUACGCUCUAUCUAUCAUUCAUAGCGGCUCCAGGCGGCCAGCCACCUCUAUUAUGUGGCUUCAGACCGGCCGAGACUAGCCUGGCAGCAGAAUAAUACACGCCACAUCCUGCCAGCCCGGCACCCAGCGAGGGGGAUUUAUUGAUACUUUUAUUUAGCUUCAGUGCACAACAUGUAGCGCGCGCCCCUGUACUGGCUGGCAAAGGGCCUGUGUGGGCGUUCAGGCUAGGGUUGUUCCGUGGGCUCUGACAUCAGUAUGAAGCAGACGAAGCAGCCCCUCUGUCUGGCUCAUUAGCACGACGGGCGACCAUGUACCAAAUAUUUCAGUUCUUGUCUUGUGUGCUUCCUAAUGGUCCCUCAAGACCGUUGCGUCGCCCCUCUUCUCUGACCUCUGUGCAUGGUUUAGGAUCCUCAGACAUUAAGCAUGGGUGUCUGUCAUCACCCUGGACAUAUGUGUGUGCACGUGCUUGUUGGUGUGUGUGUGUGUGUGUGUGUGUGUGUGUGUGUGUGUGUGUGUGUGUGUGUGUGUGUGUGUGUGUGUGUGUGUGUGUGUGUGUGUGUGUGUGUGUGUGUGUGUGUGUAUUAGGAG